AUUUAUUAAAUAUAUCUCUUUUUAAAUUGACCACUCUCCUCUGUAGAGGCUUUGUGUUUUGUUUUGGAUUUUUUCAAGUCCCACGCUCUGCCUCUCAACUAUUCUGCCUGCAAACUUCGAAAAAAACCAAAUUAAAACACAUAGCCUCUACAGAAGAAAGUGUAAAUCGACCGUAAUGUUGGGGGCAUGUUGACUUUACCAUAAUUCUUUGCAAGAAGAACACAUAUCUUAAGAAAAUAUUUGAAAAGACAGCAUCAAGGCCAUAAAAUUUAUAAGAUAUAAUCACAGCUUUUAUCGAUGUUAUUCACCAGUCAAAGUAAACCCCGACCCCCCACCCCCACCCCGGGAUAUAGGUGGGGAUUGGCUUUGAAUACCGUACC